rnacentral:rRNA from 1 species
AGGACGAACGCUGGCGGCGUGCUUAACACAUGCAAGUCGAGCGGAAAGGCCCUUCGGGGUACUCGAGCGGCGAACGGGUGAGUAACACGUGAGUAAUCUGCCCCUAGCUCUGGGAUAGCUCCGGGAAACCGGGAUUAAUACCGGAUACGACCACCUUAGACAUCUUUUGUGGUGGAAAGAAUUUCGGCUAGGGAUGAGCUCGCGGCCUAUCAGCUUGUUGGUGGGGUAACGCCUACCAAGGCGACGACGGGUAGCCGGCCUGAGAGGGCGACCGGCCACACUGGGACUGAGACACGGCCCAGACUCCUACGGGAGGCAGCAGUGGGGAAUAGUUGCGCAAUGGGCGAAAGCCUGACGCAGCGACGCCGCGUGGGGGAUGAAGGCCUUCGGGUUGUAAACCCCGUUUCAGCAGGGACGAAGCGAAAGUGACGGUACCUGCAGAAGAAGCGCCGGCUAACUACGCGCCAGCAGCCGC